CUACACAACUCAAACUGUCGUGGGUUCGGUCCUAGCGCGAUUCACACCCGUUUUCCUGUGCCAAAUUCAUCAUUAACAGCGCACAUCCCAUUAAUUCAACCAUCAAUCAGUUGGCACGUUAUCGAAGGAAUGGGUUCGGACCCCACAGAUUCUAUCAAUCUCAUUUCUUUGGUCCGUGGUAGUCUAGCAGUGUUACAAUCUUCUAUUUUCAAGGAUUGCUCACCCCCCAAAAAAGUGACUUCUUUUCAAAAGUUCAAGGUAAGCCAGAUCUAUAAAAAGUAUCAGUCAGUAUGGAGACACUAUCAACUUUCUCCUAUAGCAUAUCCCAGAAAUGUCUGCCAAGGGGAAAC